UGGGGGCUGGGAUGGGCCAUGGU
rnacentral:miRNA from 1 species